UGGGGAAUAUUGCACAAUGGGCGAAAGCCUGAUGCAGCAACGCCGCGUGCGGGAAGAAGGCCUUAGGGUUGUAAACCGCUUUCAGCAGGGAAGAAAAUGACGGUACCUGCAGAAGAAGGUGCGGCCAACUACGUGCCAGCAGCCGCGGUGACACGUAGGCACCAAGCGUUGUCCGGAUUUAUUGGGCGUAAAGAGCUCGUAGGCGGUUUAGUAAGUCGGGUGUGAAAACUCUGGGCUCAACCCAGAGACGCCACCCGAUACUGCUAUGACUUGAGUACGGUAGGGGAGUGGGGAAUUCCUGGUGUAGCGGUGAAAUGCGCAGAUAUCAGGAGGAACACCAGUGGCGAAGGCGCCACUCUGGGCCGUAACUGACGCUGAGGAGCGAAAGCGUGGGUAGCAAACAGGAUUAGAUACCCUGGUAGUCCACGCCGUAAACGUUGGGCACUAGGUGUGGGUCUCAACCAACGAGAUCCGCGCCGUCGCUAACGCAUUAAGUG
rnacentral:rRNA from 1 species